rnacentral:rRNA from 1 species
AGAGUUUGAUCCUGGCUCAGGAUGAACGCUAGCUACAGGCUUAACACAUGCAAGUCGAGGGGCAGCAUCAUCAAAGCUUGCUUUGAUGGAUGGCGACCGGCGCACGGGUGAGUAACACGUAUCCAACCUGCCGACAACUCUGGGAUAGCCUUUCGAAAGAAAGAUUAAUACCGGAUGGCAUAAUUAUUCCGCAUGGGAUAAUUAUUAAAGAAUUUCGGUUGUCGAUGGGGAUGCGUUCCAUUAGGCAGUUGGCGGGGUAACGGCCCACCAAACCUACGAUGGAUAGGGGUUCUGAGAGGAAGGUCCCCCACAUUGGAACUGAGACACGGUCCAAACUCCUACGGGAGGCAGCAGUGAGGAAUAUUGGUCAAUGGACGAGAGUCUGAACCAGCCAAGUAGCGUGAAGGAUGACUGCCCUAUGGGUUGUAAACUUCUUUUAUACGGGAAUAAAGUGAGCCACGUGUGGCUUUUUGUAUGUACCGUAUGAAUAAGGAUCGGCUAACUCCGUGCCAGCAGCCGCGGUAAUACGGAGGAUCCGAGCGUUAUCCGGAUUUAUUGGGUUUAAAGGGAGCGUAGGCGGGUUGUUAAGUCAGUUGUGAAAGUUUGCGGCUCAACCGUAAAAUUGCAGUUGAUACUGGCGACCUUGAGUGCAACAGAGGUAGGCGGAAUUCGUGGUGUAGCGGUGAAAUGCUUAGAUAUCACGAAGAACUCCGAUUGCGAAGGCAGCUUACUGGAUUGUAACUGACGCUGAUGCUCGAAAGUGUGGGUAUCAAACAGGAUUAGAUACCCUGGUAGUCCACACAGUAAACGAUGAAUACUCGCUGUUGGCGAUAUACUGUCAGCGGCCAAGCGAAAGCAUUAAGUAUUCCACCUGGGGAGUACGCCGGCAACGGUGAAACUCAAAGGAAUUGACGGGGGCCCG